UACAGAGGGGGCAAGCGUUGUUCGGAAUUACUGGGCGUAAAGGGCGCGUAGGCGGCCCGCUAAGUCGAACGUGAAAUCCCCGGGCUCAACCCGGGAACUGCGUCCGAUACUGGCAGGCUUGAAUCCGGGAGAGGGAUGUGGAAUUCCAGGUGUAGCGGUGAUAUGCGUAGAUAUCUGGAGGAACACCGGUGGCGAAGGCGGCAUACUGGACCGGUAUUGACGCUGAGGCGCGAAAGCCAGGGGAGCAAACGGG
rnacentral:rRNA from 1 species